CGAGUUUUUGCUUCUUUUUUCUCUGCAAUGAUCAAUCAACAUCAUUCUUGCCAAUUUCUUUCUCCGGCAAGUUUACUUUGCCUUUAAAUUGUUGCACCAACUGCUGUUCAGCUGUUGUGUUACCGUGAAAACUAGCAAAAACCAGAGUUAUUCUACUAGAUCUCAUCAGUAAUAGAUCUAAUUGUUUAUUGUCGUUAUGAGAUCUCGUCAGUAACAAAUCUAAUUGCUUUGAUUUUAGUACUAGUUAUUCUACUAGAUCUGCUGCUAAACUGAAUCUUUAAUCUCGCCAUUCCUUCAUCUCUAUUUUCUGGGUUGAUUUUAGUUUUCAAUUCAUUUGAAUUUCUGGGUUUAACUCAUCUGACCUUUCUUGGUUUGAUUAGUUAAUGGUUUUGAGUUUCUGGGUUGAUUUCCAAGCUCUGUGGUUCCACGAUUCAGAUCUAGCAAGCUUUGAUAAUUUCCUUGUUCAUAUAAUCUAUAUAAUGAAUAAAACAUGGCGAUUUCUCAAAAAUCUCAGCAAACUCCUUCUAACCAUUCUUUGGAGUAUGUUAUUUCAAUCCUUUUGUUUGGAGCUAAUAGGAAUAGAUACAACGGGCAAUGGGAAAAUGGAGUGUUGAAAGGGAAUGAGGUGUUUGCAUGGCCAUAUGGGAGUUGUUGUCUUGGAAAAUGGAAUAAUAGCAGUAAGGAUUUGAAAGGGCACAAUUGAAUGACACAUUUUAUCCUCUCUCUAUUAAGUUCAUGUGAAUGGUAAGUCUUCGUUUUCAGAUUUCAUGGAGUCUCAGAGUGCUUUUAUUUUGAGCAUAUGACUCUGAUGUUUUCUUCCAUGGUGUUCCAUGUGGGCUUGUUUGAGCUGUGAUGAUAUGGAAUAUGCAGGCUUAGAAGACAAAAGCAGUAAUCUCCACCGCAACUGAUAUUUACUUUUGUAGGAAUAAUGAAUUUUUUGUAGCAAGUUGUGAUAACGUUAUUAAUGCAACAACUGAACUCUCUCUCUCUGUUUCACUAUAGGAAUAAUGAAUUUAUUUCAUUUUUAUUUUAGUUAUAUUAUUAUUUACUACUUGACUGAAAUCAUCAAUAUAUAAUUAGUUAAAAUAUUUUAUUUUAUGA
rnacentral:lncRNA from 1 species